CCUCUAGUGGCUGUCUCAUUGACAGCCGCUAGAGGCACUUGCGUGCUUCUCACUGUGAUUUUCACAGUGAGAGCACGCCAGCGUCCAUAGGAAAGCAUUAUGAAUGCUUUCCUAUGUGACCAGCUGAAUGCGCGCGCAUUCAGCCGACGAAGAGGAGGAGAGCUCUCUGCCCAGAGCUGGAAAAAGGUAAGUUUUAACCCCUUUCCAGAACCGGGUGGGAGGGGGAC